UUUUUUUUUUUCUCUUUUUUUUUGCUCUUCCUUUUUCCCCUCUUUUGCUUCAAGGAUCCUUUUUGGCUGAUAUUCAACAAGAUGGAGGCAUUUACUUGAUUAGUUAUGUUUUCUGGUGUACUUUUCUGUCUUAAUCAAGAGAAGGAUAUCCUAAAAUUUGUUUUUCUUUUUUCGUCGUCAACAUAAUCUUCUUCUAACAUCUGUAAAAUUCCAUUACAUUAAGUUGUUCUUAUUUCACUUUCGUAUGAUGAAUUUGGUUCCACUUAUGAGAGGUUUGACAAUGUUCUUUGUAUAUUUAUUUUUUGGCAAAGUGGAAUAAUCCUUGGACAUUGCUGAGCAUGGUGAGUGUGGUUGUUUCCAGGAUUGACCUGUCAUGUUCAUAUUGUUGGAUUAUAGCAUUUUGUUAAAGAUAUUUUACUUGUUGAAGACUGGCUUUCUCUCUGUAGUUGUUUAUUUUGUUUUUUUGCCAUUAUCAUGGUUAAUCAAUAGAUUUAUUGUGCUAGUUUAUUGGAUCCGUGUGCCUCUACUUGUAGUUAUACUGGGUGGAUACUUGUUCUGAUACUAGUUACGGAUGUUUCUGGUAAAUUCCCAUUGAUUGUGCUCAUUAAGCAGUAAAUUUCUUCAUAUAGGUAUACUCCUUCAAUGCCUCGA
rnacentral:misc_RNA from 1 species